GUGAGGAAUCUUCCACAAUGGGCGAAAGCCUGAUGGAGCAACGCCGCGUGAAGGAUGAAGGUCUUCGGAUUGUAAACUUCUUUUAUGAGUGAAGAAUAUGACGGUAACUCAUGAAUAAGCACCGGCUAACUACGUGCCAGCAGCCGCGGUCAUACGUAGGGUGCAAGCAUUAUCCGGAGUGACUGGGCGUAAAGAGUUGCGUAGGCGGUUAUGUAAGCGAAUAGUGAAACCUGGUGGCUCAACCACACAGACUAUUAUUCGAACUGCAUAACUCGAGAAUGGUAGAGGUAACUGGAAUUUCUUGUGUAGGAGUGAAAUCCGUAGAUAUAAGAAGGAACACCAAUGGCGUAGGCAGGUUACUGGGCCAUUUCUGACGCUAAGGCACGAAAGCGUGGGGAGCGAACCGGAUUAGAAACCCCGGUAGUCC
rnacentral:rRNA from 1 species